AACGAACGCCGGCGGCAUGCCUAACACAUGCAAGUCGAACGAGGCCUUCGGGUCUAGUGGCGCACGGGUGCGUAACGCGUGGGAACCUGCCCUUAGGUUCGGAAUAACUCCCCGAAAGGGGUGCUAAUACCGGAUAAUGUCUUCGGACCAAAGAUUUAUCGCCUUUGGAUGGGCCCGCGUUGGAUUAGCUAGUUGGUAGGGUAAAAGCCUACCAAGGCGACGAUCCAUAGCUGGUCUGAGAGGAUGAUCAGCCACACUGGGACUGAGACACGGCCCAGACUCCUACGGGAGGCAGCAGUGGGGAAUAUUGGACAAUGGGCGAAAGCCUGAUCCAGCAAUGCCGCGUGAGUGAUGAAGGCCUUAGGGUUGUAAAGCUCUUUUACCCGGGAUGAUAAUGACAGUACCGGGAGAAUAAGCUCCGGCUAACUCCGUG
rnacentral:rRNA from 1 species